rfam:Peptoniphilus grossensis strain 35-6-1 unitig_0, whole genome shotgun sequence.
AAUAUUAAUGUUAUUAAGCCGCAGACAGUAGGUGGCAUUGCCAUAAGUCCUACCGAGGUUUGAAAUUCGGAUUUAUUUGAUUUUCACAUCUCACGGCGGCGUGAGAUUUUUUUAUUUGGGGG